rnacentral:rRNA from 1 species
AAUAGAUACCCUGGUAGUCCACGCCGUAAACGGUGGGCACUAGGUGUGGGCGACAUUCCACGUCGUCCGUGCCGCAGCUAACGCAUUAAGUGCCCCGCCUGGGGAGUACGGCCGCAAGGCUAAAACUCAAAGGAAUUGACGAGGGCCCGCACAAGCGGCGGAGCGUGUGGCUUAAUUCGACGCAACGCGAAGAACCUUACCAAGGCUUGACAUACACCGGAAACGUCCAGAGAUGGGCGCCCCCUUGUGGUCGGUGUACAGGUGGUGCAUGGCUGUCGUCAGCUCGUGUCGUGAGAUGUUGGGUUAAGUCCCGCAACGAGCGCAACCCUUGUCCCGUGUUGCCAGCAGGCCCUUGUGGUGCUGGGGACUCACGGGGAGACCGCCGGGGUCAACUCGGAGGAAGGUGGGGACGACGUCAAGGUCAUCAUGCCCCUUAUGUCUUGGGCUGCACACGUGCUACAAUGGCCGGUACAAUGAGCUGCGAUACCGCGAGGUGGAGCGAAUCUCAAAAAGCCGGUCUCAGUUCGGAUUGGGGUCUGCAAC